AUGGCUUUAGAAGGAUUUACUAAACUGUUAUUUUCCUGGAUAUCUACGCUCUUGACGGUUUACACUUCAAAUGAGCAGACCUACAGGUGGAUAGAUCGGCCAGCCUCUCCUUUCAGUCGGCCACAGCCUCUCCUUUCAGUCGGCCAGCCUCUCCUUUCAGUCGGCCAGCCUCUCCUUUCAGUCGGCCACAGCCUCUCCUUUCAGUCGGGCAGCCUCUCCUUCAGUCGGCCACAGCCUCUCCUUUCAGUCGGCCAGUCUCUCCUUUCAGUCGGGCAGCCUCUCUUUUCAGUCGGCCAGUCUCCUCAUUUCAGUCGGCCAGCCUCUCCUUCAGUCGGGCAGCCUCUCCUUUCAGUCGGCCAGCCUCUCCUUUCAGUCGGGCAGCCUCUCCUUCAGUCGGGCAGCCCUUUCAAGGUCUUCCUGUCCGUUUCUUUCUGCAGUCCUGCCUCUCCUUUCAGUCGGCCAGCCUCUCCUUUCAGUCGGCCAGCCUCUCCUUUCAGUCGGGCAGCCCUUUCAAGGAGGUCCUGUCCGUUUCUUUCUGCAGUCCUGCCUGUGCCCCUGGACGGUCUGCGGCUCUUCGACGCUGGAAUCCUACAGAAAAAAACAUGUACACAACCCAGUUAUUAGGAUUGUUCACUACAUGGUUUUGGUUUUAUGUAUAAACCAUAAUGAUUUUCAUGCAGAAGAGUUGAGUAUAAC
rnacentral:lncRNA from 1 species